rnacentral:rRNA from 1 species
UACAGAGGGUGCAAGCGUUGUUCGGAAUUAUUGGGCGUAAAGCGCGUGUAGGCGGCUUUGCAGGUCGGGUGUGAAAGCCCUCAGCUCAACUGAGGAAGUGCGCCCGAAACUGCAGAGCUUGAAUACCGGAGAGGAUGGCGGAAUUCCCCAAGUAGAGGUGAAAUUCGUAGAUAUGGGGAGGAACACCGGUGGCGAAGGCGGCCAUCUGGACGGCUAUUGACGCUGAGACGCGAAAGCGUGGGGAGCAAACAGG